GAUGAACGCUAGCGGCAGGCCUAACACAUGCAAGUCGAGGGGUAGAACACUUCGGUGUUUGAGACCGGCGCACGGGUGCGUAACGCGUAUGCAAUCUACCUUGUACAGGGGAAUAGCCCAGAGAAAUUUGGAUUAAUGCCGCAUAGUAUAUAACCUUCGCAUGUUGGUUGUAUUAAGGUUCCAACGGUACAAGAUGAGCAUGCGUCCCAUUAGUUAGUUGGUAAGGUAACGGCUUACCAAGACGAUGAUGGGUAGGGGUCCUGAGAGGGAGAUCCCCCACACUGGUACUGAGACACGGACCAGACUCCUACGGGAGGCAGCAGUGAGGAAUAUUGGUCAAUGGGCGCAAGCCUGAACCAGCCAUGCCGCGUGCAGGAAGACGGUCCUAUGGAUUGUAAACUGCUUUUAUACAGGAAGAAACAACUCUACGUGUAGAGUCUUGACGGUACUGUAGGAAUAAGGAUCGGCUAACUCCGUGCCAGCAGCCGCGGUAAUAC
rnacentral:rRNA from 1 species